UUGGUGUGCAUAGGACGCUCAGAGAGGUCAACUCAAGCAACAACAACAAUUGACCACUAUCAUCACAAAAAGUAACAAGAGUUUGGGUGAUUUUACAAUUCAAUUUUCAAGGAUUUAAGGUUUCUUGUUUAGCAGAAGAUGUUGUAACCUGAAGUGUGCAAGAUGCCUGGUGAGAUAAAAUUGAAGGCUUUGUACAUUGCCAACAGUCUUGAACAACUCAAUGAGAAAGGAGAAUGUAACAUCAAUGACAUCAAAUCAAUCAAAGGGCUAUGUAAUACUGCUGAGAAAGCUUAUCGUGAAGCAGUUAAAGCCAGCAACAACAGCGAUGAGGAGCGUGCGUACGUCCUUUUUGUCAAAUACAUGAAUAUGUGUACGGGGCUUAAGAAGCGUAAAGAGUACAGCAAA